CCUACGGGAGGCAGCAGUGAGGAAUCUUCCACAAUGGGCGAAAGCCUGAUGGAGCAACGCCGCGUGCAGGAUGAAGGCCUUCGGGUUGUAAACUGCUUUUAUAAGUGAGGAAUAUGACGGUAACUUAUGAAUAAGGAUCGGCUAACUACGUGCCAGCAGCCGCGGUAAU
rnacentral:rRNA from 1 species